rnacentral:rRNA from 1 species
AAUUGGAGGGCAAGUCUGGUGCCAGCAGCCGCGGUAAUUCCAGCUCCAAUAGCGUAUAUUAAAGUUGUUGCAGUUAAAAAGCUCGUAGUUGAAUUUCGGGGUUAGUAGGUUGGUCAUGCCUCUGGUAUGUACUGGUCUCACUGAUUCCUCCUUCCUUAUGAACCGUAAUGCCAUUAAUUUGGUGUUGCGGGGAAUUUGGACUGUUACUUUGAAAAAAUUAGAGUGUUUAAAGCAGGCUAACGCUUGAAUACAUUAGCAUGGAAUAAUGAAAUAGGACGUCCGAUCUUAUUUUGUUGGUUUCUAGGAUUGACGUAAUGAUUAAUAGGGAUAGUUGGGGGCAUUAGUAUUCAAUUGUCAGAGGUGAAAUUCUUGGAUUUAUUGAAGACUAACUACUGCGAAAGCAUUUGCCAAGGAUGUUUUCAUUAAUCAAGAACGAAAGUUAGGGGAUCGAAGACGAUCAGAUACCGUCGUAGUCUUAACCAUAAACUAUGCCGACUAGGGAUCGGAUGAUGUUAAUUUUUUAAUGACUCAUUCGGCGCCUUACGGGAAACCAAAGUGU